UCGGGAAUUUUGGGCAAUGGGCGAAAGCCUGACCCAGCAACGCCGCGUGAAGGAUGAAAUCCCUCGGGAUGUAAACUUCGCAAGAACGGGAAGAAUAAGUAGGGGAUAAUACCCCCUAUGAUGACGGUACCGUUUGUAAGCUCCGGCUAACUCCGUGCCAGCAGCCGCGGUAAUACGGGGGGAGCAAGCGUUGUUCGGAUUUACUGGGCGUAAAGGGCGCGUAGGCGGAUCGUCAAGUCGGGGGUGAAAUCCCGGGGCUCAACCCUGGAAUGGCCUUCGAGACUGGCGGUCUUGAGUUCGAGAGAGGUGGGUGGAAUUCCGAGUGUAGAGGUGAAAUUCGUAGAUAUUCGGAGGAACACCAGUGGCGAAGGCGGCCCACUGGCUCGACACUGACGCUGAGGCGCGAAAGCGUGGGGAGCAAACAG
rnacentral:rRNA from 1 species